UUUCUUGAUUAGUGGCGCACGGGUGAGUAAUGCAUAGAUAAUGUGCCCUUAGUUCGGGAUAGCCACUGGAAACGGUGAUUAAUACCGGAUACUCCCUCUUGUUAUAAGACAAGUCGGGAAAGUUUUUCGCUAAGGGAUCAGUCUAUGUUCCAUCAGCUUGUUGGUGAGGUAAUGGCUCACCAAGGCUAUGACGGAUAUCUGGUUUGAGAGGGUGAUCAGACACACUGGAACUGAGACACGGUCCAGACUCCUACGGGAGGCAGCAGUGAGGAAUAUUGCACAAUGGAGGAAACUCUGAUGCAGCAACGCCGCGUGGAGGAUGACGCAUUUCGGUGUGUAAACUCCUUUUAUUAGGGAAGAUAAUGACGGUACCUAAUGAAUAAGCACCGGCUAACUCCGUGCCAGCAGCCGCGGUAAUACGGAGGGUGCAAGCGUUACUCGGAAUCACUGGGCGUAAAGGGUGCGUAGGCUGGCUUUUAAGUCAGAUGUGAAAUCCAAUGGCUCAACCAUUGAACUGCAUUUGAAACUGAAAGCCUAGAGUUCAGAAGGGGCAGAUGGAAUUAGUGGUGUAGGGGUAAAAUCCGUAGAUACCACUAGGAAUAUCAGAAGCGAAGGC
rnacentral:rRNA from 1 species